UGCAAGUCGAGCGCGGGAAGCCGGCGGACUCCUUCGGGAGGAAACCGGUGGAACGAGCGGCGGACGGGUGAGUAACACGUGGGCAACCUGCCGGACUGAUGGGAAUAACCCCGGGAAACCGGGGCUAAUGCCCAAUACGCCCUGACCUCGCCUGAGGUCAGCGGUAAAGCAGGGAUCUUCGGAUCCUUGCACAGUCCGAUGGGCCCGCGGCGCAUUAGCUAGUUGGAGAGGUAAGGGCUCCCCAAGGCGACGAUGCGUAGCCGACCUGAGAGGGUGAUCGGCCACACUGGGACUGAGACACGGCCCAGACUCCUACGGGAGGCAGCAGUAGGGAAUCAUCCGCAAUGGGCGAAAGCCUGACGGUGCAACGCCGCGUGAGUGAUGAAGGUUUUCGGAUCGUAAAGCUCUGUUGACAGGGAAGAACCCACGUCAGUCGAACAGGCUGGCGUGCUGACGGUACCUGUCCAGAAAGCCCCGGCUAACUACGUGCCAGCAGCCGCGGUAAUACGUAGGGGGCAAGCGUUGUCCGGAAUUAUUGGGCGUAAAGGGCACGCAGGCGGUUUCGUCAGUCCGAUGUGACAGGCCACGGCUCAACCGUGGAAGGCCAUUGGAAACUGCGAAACUUGAGGACAGAAGAGGAGAGUGGAAUUCCACGUGUAGCGGUGAAAUGCGUAGAUAUGUGGAGGAACACCAGUGGCGAAGGCGACUCUCUGGUCUGUACCUGACGCUGAGGUGCGAAAGCAUGGGGAGCAAACAGGAUUAGAUACCCUGGUAGUCCAUGCCGUAAACGCUGAGUGCUAGGUGUUAGGGGUUUCGAUACCCGUAGUGCCGAAGCUAACGCAUUAAGCACUCCGCCUGGGGAGUACGACCGCAAGGUUGAAACUCAAAGGAAUUGACGGGGGCCCGCACAAGCGGUGGAGCAUGUGGUUUAAUUCGACGCAACGCGAAGAACCUUACCAGAUCUUGACAUCUUCCGCUACG
rnacentral:rRNA from 1 species